rnacentral:rRNA from 1 species
AUUGAACGCUGGCGGCAUGCCUUACACAUGCAAGUCGAACGGUAAUGCGGGGCAACCUGGCGACGAGUGGCGAACGGGUGAGUAAUAUAUCGGAACGUGCCCAGUAGUGGGGGGAUAGCCCGGCGAAAGCCGGAUUAAUACCGCAUACGACCUACGGGUGAAAGCGGGGGAUCGCAAGACCUCGCGCUAUUGGAGCGGCCGAUAUCAGAUUAGGUAGUUGGUGGGGUAAAGGCCUACCAAGCCUACGAUCUGUAGCUGGUCUGAGAGGACGACCAGCCACACUGGGACUGAGACACGGCCCAGACUCCUACGGGAGGCAGCAGUGGGGAAUUUUGGACAAUGGGCGCAAGCCUGAUCCAGCCAUGCCGCGUGCGGGAAGAAGGCC